rnacentral:rRNA from 1 species
CCAGCAGCCGCGGUAAUACGGAGGGUGCGAGCGUUAAUCGGAAUUACUGGGCGUAAAGCGCAUGCAGGCGGCCUGUUAAGUCAGAUGUGAAAGCCCGGGGCUUAACCUCGGAAUUGCAUUUGAAACUGGCAGGCUAGAGUCUUGUAGAGGGGGUAGGAAUUUCAGGUGUAGCGGUGAAAUGCGUAGAGAUCUGAAGGAAUACCAGUGGCGAAGCGGCCCCCUGGACAAAGACUGACGCUCAGGUACUGCGAAAGCGUGGGGAGCCAAACAGGAUUAGAUACCCUGGUAG